rnacentral:rRNA from 1 species
UACGUAGGGUGCGAGCGUUAAUCGGAAUUACUGGGCGUAAAGCGUGCGCAGGCGGUUUUGUAAGCCAGAUGUGAAAGCCCCGGGCUUAACCGUGGGAAUGGCAUUUGGGACUGCAAGGCUUGAGUGCGGCAGAGGAGACUGGAAUUCCCGGUGUAGCAGUGAAAUGCGUAGAUAUCAGGAGGAACACCGGUGGCGAAGGCGGAUCUCUGGGCCUUACCUGACGCUGAGGCGCGAAAGCUAGGGGAGCGAACAGG